AAGAGAUCGGGCAUUUUGUUGUCCUACGAAGCAACUUCCUGAAACAUAGAUGCGAACGAACAAAUAAUUUGUUGUUUUAUAUUAUCCAUGAAUGAAAUAUGUGUUAUCGUGAAAUUAGAAUAAUGGAUUACGACGGACGGUAUACUUUGGAUGUUUCAUUGUUAUCAAUCGUGAGAGAAUUUUCGAUUGGAAAUAUAAGGAGAAGAAGAUUCGUCAGAUAUAUAUUUUCUCGAGGGUAAGCCAAGGCAAGGCUCGUUCGUCGAUAGACAGGCUCGAUAAAUUGGCCUUUAAACGUCGCUCGCUAUCUUCGAAGAACAAUCUCGUUUGCGAGGCACGAGCGGUGGUCAACGAGAUCGUACUUCGAGAAGAGCCAAGAGAACAUGCGUAAGAGAUAAAAAUGGAGUCGAAGUAGCUUUUGAUCUUAGCGGAGGACAGUGAAAAGUUGCAGAGCGGGUCCAAAGGUAUUUGCAUUGAAUGUCGCCUCUCCUACCGGGGAGAGAGAAAGAGGAGCCCUCGCUAACCGCAACCGAUUUCACGUUGCCUUGCCUCGAAGUCUCUCCUCUCGUUGUGCAUGAACACAACAAUCUUAUAUAGAUUUCGAGCAUUCGAUUGUAAAUUAUUUAUUUAUUUAUUUAUUUAUUUAUUUAUUUCAAUUUUGUUAAGAAACACAAAGAAAGUUGCAAGCGUUUGUUUUUUGCUUUUUCAAUUCACAAGUCUUUUUCUUUCUUCUUUUCUUUUCUUUCGGUGUUUUCUUCAUCGCGCAAAAUAUCGUUCAUACAAGUUCGUCAACAUGGCGGAUUAACGUCGUACAGAUUUCAAUAACUCGAUUAUACAUUAUUUACGCGAUUAAUGAUUAAGAAAGAAAAGUUGAAAAUUAUCUAA